rnacentral:rRNA from 1 species
CGGGGUGCACCAGGCGCGAAAACUUUACAAUGCUGGCAACAGCGAUAAGGGGACCUCGAGUGCCAGGAUACAAUCUUGGCUGUCGUGAUGCCUAAAAAGCAUUACAUAGCAAGGGCCGGGCAAGACCGGUGCCAGCCGCCGCGGUAACACCGGCGGCUCGAGUGGUAACCGCUAUUAUUGGGUCUAAAGGGUCUGUAGCCGGCCGGAUAAGUCUCUUGGGAAAUCCAGCAGCUCAACUGUUGGGCUUCCAGGGGAUACUGUUCGGCUCGAGGCCGGGAGAGGUGAGAGGUACUUCAGGGGUAGGGGUGAAAUCUUGUAAUCCUUGAAGGACCACCAGUGGCGAAGGCGUCUCACCAGAACGGUCCUGACGGCAAGGGACGAAAGCUAGGGGCACGAACCGGAUUAGAUACCCGGGUAGUCCUAGCCGUAAACGAUACUCGCUAGGUGUCAGCCACGGUGCGACCGUGGUUGGUGCCGUAGGGAAGCCGUGAAGCGAGCCACCUGGGAAGUACGGCCGCAAGGCUGAAACUUAAAGGAAUUGGCGGGGGAGCACAAGGGCAAUUCGC